rnacentral:rRNA from 1 species
GGAAAUGUCUGGAGAGUGGCGAGGUGAAGCAGAAGUGUGGAAACUGUAUUCGGACGUAUCGGGAUGAAAGCGUGGGUCGUUGGUUGUUUAAGUCGUUCGUGAAAGCCCUGGGCGCAACCGGUGAACUGCGAUGGAAACUGGGCGACUAGUGUGUGGUAGAGGUGAGCGGAAUGCUUGGUGUAGCAGUGAAAUGCGUAGAUAUCAGGAGGAACAUCCAUGGCGAAGGCAGCUACCUGGGCCAACACUGACACUGAGGCACGAAAGCGUGGGGAGCAAACAGGAUUAGAUACCCCGGUAGUC